UUUUUAAUACAGAGUUAGUAUAAUUUUUGAAAGUGUACACUAAUUUCACUUCAUCAGUAGUGUAAUCUUAGUACACUGUAAACAAAGUGCACUAAAUAUAAGUGUACUUUUAUUAGCAUAUCAAAGUACACUGAAAAAAUGGGAAAUAGCAGGUCUUUGAAUUUACAAAAAUGAAUUUAGAAUAUGCUACGCAAUUCAUUUAUAUUCCUUUCAAGAACAUGGUUCAAUCUUGUAGACUUCAGUUGUUUUUGUAUAGAUUCCUUUUGCGUUGAUUGAAAUUGAUUGAAUUGAACAUUUUAAAUGAUUGAAUUAAGUUUGGUCACUACCGGAAAUGGUAUAUUUGAAUCAAAUGGCGCCAGGAAGUGUAGGUGGCACUUCCCGGGCACUGACAUCAACCGUUUAUAUACUGUCUAUGCUGCCAACACAGCCAGACUGUUUCAACAAGGACAUUGAAAACAAGAAGAAUGUGAAGAAGAAUGUUGAGUAUGUGUUGGCUGCGUGCAGGAUUAAUUCUACAGCAGCCAUAUGUUGUCUCCUUCACGAAAAAGAUCCUAUUUGAACAGCAUACACAAUCAAAUGCUUUAUAGUGGGCAUGGAUGAAGACGCCAUCAACGAGGCCACUGAAGAAACCAGUGUUGGGACAUGGGGGCAUCGGUAUUGUCCUUGAAGGCAUCAAGAUGUUGCAAGAUCUUUAUAAUGUAGCAUUACCUGUUGCUACGCUGUUUGGACUAAUGUACUGUAUGCCCUGAACUUCAACUACCCUGCUCGCCUUCGAUCCAAAAGAUUUGCAUGGAACUUGAUGGAGGGAAAAUUACCAACAAAGCACUUGCUCUAAAAAACAGGCUCUUCCAGUGAAAGGGCCAGAGAGACUGCGCCGUCAACCAAACAGCAUAGUUGUCCCUAAAGGCAUCGUUGGUAUGGCUGUACUCUUUGGACUAGUUUUUUUUGUUUGAAUUAACUGGACAGGAUUUGCAUGGAGCUGCAUAGAAAUAACCUUUUGCAAACCAAGCAAAAGUUUUCUCUCUAGAAAACAGACUCUAUUAUAGACCAACAGGCAUCUUUGGUACUGCUAUAUCAGAUGGAAUUUUUUAUUUAUUUUUUUACACAGGGUUAACAUUUUUUGUCAUUUGAAAAACUACUUUGAAAACAGAGUGCACAAUUUAAAGGGUAACUUCGGGUUUUUCAACCUUGGACCUUAUGUUCCUCUCUUGUUGUUGUUACUGAUGGGAACAACGAUCUUCGACAUUGGUCCAGUAUGAAGCGAGUAGGCCUGUCACGAUAACAAGUUUUGCUGGACGAUAAAUUGUCCCAGAAAUUAUUGUGAUAAACCAUAAUCUUGUCGUCCUGUGACCAUUUUCAUCUAAUAUAAUGAUAAUGGCAUAAUAAUGCAGGUACACUUUUUCAAAGAUCAAUAAACUUUUAUUUCUAAGGAAUUUUUAACACUAGAACUGGAAGACAUCGUCCACAGCGGCGUAUGUCCAAGCACGGCGGAUAUCGCUCAUAGUCUUUUUUUUUUUUUUUUUCUCUUGACGCUGUCUUAACUGUUCAAGGUUCCUGAAUUGUAAUAUAAUACACUUGUAGUGUAAUAGCAACAUUCAUGCUUAAGUAUAACAAAAUGGGGAUAAAAGUACAGAUGAAAUAUACUU